CCUAAAGACCUAUUGUCACUACAAAACCAUUCAACUCUGGAGAGAAACUACAGGCUUGAAUCAUUCUAAGGCGCUUAUCAAGGCCUUCAGCAAAAAGGCGGCCUCAAACGCCUUAGCGCUGUCUAGGAACCAACUGCGCAACUUGAUAAGGGUGCUUACUGGGCACUGCGGCCUAAAUAAGCACAUGCUCACUAUGGGGAAACGUGACAUGGGGCGGUGCAGGCUCUGUAUGGAGGCAGAGGAGACGCCUUUGCACAUCCUCGCAGAGUGCUCUUGCCUAAUGCGCACUCGUGACUCAAUCCUGGGCAGACAUAUAUUACGUCCGGAGAAGUUAAGGUCUCUCGAGAUCAAGAAGAUUCUGCAGCUGUUUGAAGUUGCAGGUUUGGAUUGAAAAUUGUAGUAGGUGGCGAUCACAAUAGAUCAGGAAUGGUCGCAGUGACAUAUAUGCUGUAGAGCUUUACAUAGCCCCUGACAAAGAAGAAGAAGAAAGAAUGCUAAGCGUUCACAAAUAACAAAACUCCAGUUUUACUGGGUAAGCUAGAGUUAAGAGUGACGAGGAGUUGAGGGGGAAGGUCCCGUAUGUGUGGCAUAAGCAUGAGUUAGAGGUUAGAUGCCAGGUUUAAGGAUGAAAGCAUGAACUGCAUCGAGCUGUAACGCUUACAAAUUAUUUUAACAUAAUUUUGAUUAUGAUUUAUUGCUUUUGGUGGUUUGAGCUUUGUUUUUCGCAUUUACAGGAAACGAGUUGCGAAAACAUUUCACCGAAUUCGUCGAUCAUUAAGAGUACGCCAGAACGUCAAGUUUUUAUAAAACCUACCCGUCUUAAUAUAAUUGAAACGGACGAAAGAAUUGUUGUCCCCAGUAAACAUUUUAGCUGAAGAAUCCGAGACUGAAUACAAUGAUUCAUUUAUACCACAAGGUCCACAAGUACUCGUUAGAAGCAAUAGCGUUUCUUCAUCGUCUUACAGCUCGUCUAGCAGCAGCUCUUCAUCGUAGAGUUCAUCUAGCAGUACGUCAAGAUUUAGCUCCAGUACUAUAAAGAGAUCUUCAGCUCCACAAAAAAAAUAUUACACUAAAGCCGAAAUUACAAUGAACGAGGACACAAUACCCUACAAUAGACUGGUAAAGAAAACAGCGACCUCUUAUCGCAUAUUACCUGUUAAUGAGCUUUAAACUGACCCGGAUCGUAGCGAUGAUGACCCUACAUUUGAAGUGGAGACAAUUAAAAAACAUCGAAAAUUUACCCUCAUUAAUCCUGUUGACUCUCAAGCCACAUUUAAGCCACAACUUGAUCACUCGAUCGACUCAGCUGACCAAGAACCUCAACCUUAUUAACUCUAGAAGAAUCUCAGGGAAGGAAUACUCUCAAGGAAGUAGCGUUAGCUUCCAGCCUCAAUUGUCAGGUACCGAAGAACCUCAGCUUUCAGGUAGCGGCGUAGUUUUUCAAUCGUCAGCUGACUCAGAACCACAACCCUCAGGUAGUGGCAUUAAGUGUGGCAUCCGAAUAAUCAGUUCGGAAAUGAGUUCGUAAAACACCUCUAUCUAAGCCUGUUGUUGUAACAGACUACUUCAAACUUUAAUACAUGAAAUUAAGGUCUCUACCACCUAAUUACUAUGUAGAUUACUAUCAAAGUAUUAAGUAAUUAACUGAAAAAUACAACAUGU